AGUGAACGCUGGCGGUAGGCCUAACACAUGCAAGUCGAACGGCAGCACAGUAAGAUCUUGCUCUUACGGGUGGCGAGUGGCGGACGGGUGAGGAAUACAUCGCAAUCUACUUUUUCGUGGGGGAUAACGUAGGGAAACUUACGCUAAUACCGCAUACGACCUACGGGUGAAAGCAGGGGAUCUUCGGACCUUGCGCGAUUGAAUGAGCCGAUGUCGGAUUAGCUAGUUGGCGGGGUAAAGGCCCACCAAGGCGACGAUCCGUAGCUGGUCUGAGAGGAUGAUCAGCCACACUGGAACUGAGACACGGUCCAGACUCCUACGGGAGGCAGCAGUGGGGAAUAUUGGACAAUGGGCGCAAGCCUGAUCCAGCCAUACCGCGUGGGUGAAGAAGGCCUUCGGGUUGUAAAGCCCUGUUGUUGGGAAAGAAAAGCAGCAGGUUAAUACCCCGCUGUUCUGACGGUACCCAAAGAAUAAGCACCGGCUAACUUCGUG
rnacentral:rRNA from 1 species